UACGAAGGGUGCAAGCGUUACUCGGAAUUACUGGGCGUAAAGCGUGCGUAGGUGGUUCGUUAAGUCUGAUGUGAAAGCCCUGGGCUCAACCUGGGAAUGGCAUUGGAAACUGGCGACCUAGAGUGCGGUAGAGGGUAGUGGAAUUCCCGGUGUAGCAGUGAAAUGUGUAGAGAUCGGGAGGAACAUCUGUGGCGAAGGCGACUGCCUGGACCAGCACUGACACUGAGGCACGAAAGCGUGGGGAGCAAACAGG
rnacentral:rRNA from 1 species